GUGCUCGCUUCGGCAGCACAUAUCCUAAAAUUGGAACAAUAAAGAGAAGAUUCACAUGGCCCCUGAACAAGGAUGACAUGCAAAUUCAUGAAGCGUUCCAUAUUUUA
rnacentral:snRNA from 1 species